UACGGAGGGUGCAAGCAUUAAUCGGAUUUAUUGGGCGUAAAGGGCGCGUAGGCGGAAAAGCAAGUCAGAUGUGAAAUCCCGGGGCUCACCCCCGGAACAGCAUUUGAAACUGCAUUCCUUGAGGGUAGGCGGAGAAAAUGGAAUUCCACAAGUAGCGGUGAAAUGCGUAGAUAUGUGGAAGAACACCAGUGGCGAAAGCGGUUUUCUAGCUUAUUCCUGACGCUGAGGCGCGAAAGCAAGGGGAUCAAACAGG
rnacentral:rRNA from 1 species